UCUAAUCUCCGCAUAAUCCCGAUUGUUGGCAUGGGCGGCAUUGGUAAGACUACUCUUGCUAGAAAUGCUUACCUUAAGUUUAUGAAGCACUUUGAUAUUCGAGCUUGGGUUACAGUAUCUCAAAACUACAAUGUGCGAGAAAUUCUUGUAGAAAUUCUUCUUUGUAUAAACAAAGCUGAGAGCCGAGAAACCUUGAGUGCGAAGAGUGAAGGUGAAUUAGGUGUAAAAGUACACCAAAGUUUAUGGGGAAGGAGAUAUUUGAUUGUAAUGGAUGAUGUUUGGAGUGUUGAGGUAUGGGAUAAAGUGAAUCUCUUCUUUCCAGACAAUGGUGAAAGAAGCAGAAUAAUGAUAACCACUAGGCUAUCAAACGUUGCUUCGAUUGGCUCUGGUGGCGUUGUGAUGGAUUUCUUAAAUGAGGAUAAGAGUUGGGAUCUACUGUGCAGAUAUGUAUUUGAAGAAGAAGACGAUUGCUCUCCUGAAUUGGAGGAAAUAGGAAAGAAGAUUGCCAAAAAUUGCGAAGGACUUCCUUUGUCAAUAGUUGUGAUUGGAGGACACCUAGCGAAGUCUAAGCGCACAAAAGAACAUUGGGAAUAUAUUUCAGAAAACUUAAAAAAAAUUGUAAAUUCGGAAGACGAUGAGCGUUGCUUAAAAGUAUUGCAAUUGAGUUAUAACCAUUUGCCGGUACAUCUAAAGCCAUGUUUUCUUUAUAUGGGAGCUUUUCCUGAAGACAAUAAAAUCCAUGUCUCCUGGCUUGUGAAACUAUGGGUUUCUGAAGGUUUUUUGAAACCAAUUAAUGGGAAAAGCUUGGAAGUGGUUUCCAGAGAGUAUUUAGAGGAGCUUUGUGACAGAAAUCUCAUUAGAGUUCAUCAAAGAGGGUCUAAAGGGAGAAUAAAAUAUUGCAACAUCCAUGAUCUCGUGAGGGAAUUAUGCUUGAGAGAAGCGGAGAAAGAGAAGUUCCUUUACGUCAGAAUACCGCAUGACCUUAACAAUGUUCCACAAGGCGUAAUAAAUACCCAACGCCGCAUUGGUAUUCAUCAAAGCACAUCGGAGCCUGAAGCUCUCUAUGCAUUGCAAUCUAUGCCUCUUGUUCGUUCUUUGAUUUGCGAAUUUAAGGGAGUUUUACCAACACUUGAUUUUAGAUUGUUGAGAGUGCUGAAAGCAGUUGAUAAGCAUUUAUAUUCCGAGGAGAAAAGACAAUACAAAUAUCCCAUAGAAGUUGUCUUUCGGCUAUUUAACUCGAGGUUCAUUGCUAUCCGGGUUGACUCGCGUCAAAAUCCCCAGUUUCCUUCUUCGGUCAAUCUCCUUUGGAAUCUACAGACUUUAAUUGUAAAGGAUACCGUUGGCGCUGUUGCACCAUCUGAAAUUUGGAAGAUGACUCAACUUAGGCAUGUUGAGUUCGAUGAACUUGAAAUGCCUGAUCCUCCUCUCGGCGGGCAAGAUGGCGAGUUUGUUUUGGGGAACUUACAGAGGCUCUCUGUAAUAACGAGUUUCAAAUGUGGAGAAGAGGUGGUUACGAGGAUCCCCAACAUCGAGAAAUUAAAAAUACGUUACGAUAAGGAAUUUGAGGGAUGUUCAAGUUAUUGUCUCGACAAUCUUUGUCGUCUACGUAAACUCGAAUCCUUUGGCUGCUCCUUUUUGUCCCAAAGUGUGCCAAACCGGGACGAUAUGUUGCAGAAUUUCAUCCUCCCGAAUUCCCUCAAGAAGUUGACUUUGUGGAGGACCAAAUUCUACUGGGAAGACAUGAAUACAAAUAUAGGUUUGUUACCCAAUCUUCAAGUCCUCAAACUGAGUGCAGAUGCUUGUGUAGGGACCGAGUGGGAAACGGUUGAAGGGCAAUUCUGCAACCUUAGAUACUUGUUAAUCAACUCGUGCAGUGAGCUGGAAUGGUGGACGACAGAUAGCUCCCACUUUCCAUGCCUCGAGCAUCUUGUCCUUCAACAAUUAGAUAAGUUGAAUGAGAUCCCUUCAUGUAUUGGAGAAAUACCUACUCUUCAAUCGAUCGAGUUGAAUCUGUGUCACGACGAUGCUGUCAUUUCUGCUAAAAGAAUAUUUGAUGAGCAAGAGGAUCUUAGCCUUCGAGUUCGAGUUGUCACGCAGAAUCGACAAUUUGAGAGCCUGGCUGGUCCCAACUUUCAAGUUGAAACUUGGUGAGAACUCAAUCUUCACAACAUGGAUAUAUAUAUGUGUGUGUGUGUGUGUGUGUGUGUGUGUGUGUGUAAUUUUAUUUCACUUUUGAUUGUUUUCUUUAACGUUGUACUGCCUUGCAGCAAUAUACUCUGAACAUACACACAGUGCAUAAAUCGAAGAAUGGAGGUCCGAGAGCAGAUUGCUUGUCGCGUUAUUGAACUUAGAUUGACAAUUUGGUAUGUUGGAAUUUACAAUUCAUUGUUUUAAUGUUGAAGAUACCUUCUUUCUGUCAUUAGUUUGGCGUAAGAGUUAUAGCCUCCGGUUAAUUUAUUAGAAGCAUUUGUGUGAGCUUUGUAAACAAUUUCUACUUUGGUUUUCUUUCAUGUAAUUUCUUUUUGGUCCGCCGGUGGAAUUUGGAGUUUCUUCAAAUGUUCGUGUAAUAUUAUUAUACGUAAAUAAAUUGAGUUGAGACUCGAGUUUGUAAUAUUUUGCCUUUAUUUAAAAAUCUUAAAGGAUUUUGAUUCUCUAGUGCGAAGACUUCUCCAACGCAACACUCAAAACUCAAAAUAUUUUUCUUAGGAAGUAAAAGUAAAAUUGUACUAAAUGAUGAGUUGGCACUUUAGAGAUUAUCAAGAUGACUCUCCAAUUUCAAAGUGUCGUCUUAAAAAUCUCAAAAAUCACAAGUGCCACCUCAUUGCCACGUCAUAUUUCAAAAUAUCUUAUGUGGCACUCUAAAUAUUAGAGGUGGAGUUUACCAUCGAAGAUGCUCUAAGCCACAUACACUUGGUUGGAGAAAAGUGUUUACACAGUACGUGGGCAGUUUUGAUUUUAUUUGUAUACAAAGAUGAUUAUCGUCCAAUAAAAGUCACUUUUAAAAUAUGGUUUUCAUUUUUUUUUUGUCAUCCCCAUAAACAGUAGUUAAAUCAUUAGUUCCGAUUCAUAGGUGGCGAUCACAAACAUGUAAGUAAAAGUAAAAGUUGGUGAUUGUGAGUAAAAUUAUUUAUUAUCGGGAAAAAUACAGUCUUUGUGCCUCAAGUUUGCACCGAUUUCACAUUUGGUUCUCAUGUUCACAAAAAACACAUUUGGUCAUUUAUGUUGCAAAAAUUCAACACUUUUAGUCAUUUUCAUCAAUUUUCCGUUAAAACUAAUAGAAACAAGCAUGUGUCCAUCACUGUCUAACUAACGGACUAACGGUAAAUUGACAGAAAUGACAAAAAAUGUUAAAUUAUUGGAAUAUGAGGGACCAAAUGAGUUUUUUUGUGAACAUGGGGAACCGAAUUUGAAAUCGAUGUAAACUUGAAGUAUGAAAACUAUAAUUUCCCCAUUUAUAAUCAAUUCUAAAAAAGCUUUUGCAAACACCAAUUCGAACAUCAAUACCUUAUGGGCGAGGGCACACCGGAUAAAUUGACUUGAUUGAAGCCUAAUUGUGGCCCAAGAAAGAGUGGACAAAGAAUUGUAUUCCAACUAUAUAUAUGUGAUCACCAUUUGAUCCGAUGAUGACCUUCAUUCGAUACUAUCACUUUACGUAAUUUCAACUUUCAAGAAAGUGUGGUUCGAUUAAAAAUCACGAAUUUAUAAUGGCUAACUAUGUCUGACAUGUAAGCUCGACCUAGCAAUUGUCGGCAAAGUUUAAAUAUGGGUCAACUAAUUACUGACACAUGCUCACUUGCUCCAACUGCUAAAUUAUCAUCUAUAGGAAAAGAAAAAGAAAACAUAAAUUGUGUGUGUUUGUUUGGAUAGUUUCAUAAUACACACUACAACUUCAUUUUUAUUCUGAGUUAUUAUGAACAUUACAGUAGAAUGAUAAAUAUUUUAAAUAGUGUCAUUUGAGAAUUAUCUUUUAAAUCAUCUGGUCAAGUGAAAAUAAUUUUAUGGAAAUACAAUCUCAUUUUCGUAACCUCGACCCGAAAAUUAAAAAAAAUUAUAGAAUUUGCGAGGAAAUAAUGUUCAUCUUUGAUAUCAAUAAUGCAUAUGGCCUCAACCGUUUGGGACUGUAUUUUCAUUCCGAUUUUCGAAGUUUCGAUUUUUUAUUCUUCCAAAUUUAUUUGGAACGGAAUUGAAGUGGUAUAUAAAAUUGCCGAAAAUUCCGUUUUCUGAUUCGAUUUUAAUUAUGAAUAUUUCUAUGAUUUUACGAAAUAUAUAGUAUACUUUAUGAUAUUUGGAAUUCCAAAAUAUAACUUAUGUUAUAUGAAAAAUAUGAAUAGCGAAAUGUCAAGUAAAUUAAAAUCUUAGAAAAAAUUAAUUGGUAGUGAUACAUUUUAUGUUGCAUUUUUCCUUAUAAGAAAAUCUAUGUUUUAUUAUAAAUUUUAUGUUGCAUUUUUCCUUGUAAGAAAAUCUAUGUUUCAAUUUGUUGUUCAUACAUUUGUUUUUACUAGUAUUUUCACUUGUGGUUGGGUGCUGCCGUUUGAACGUGACCGGCGUUCGUUUUUCCGAGGGCUGAAAGAAUUUGUGGGAAAUUCGUGGGAUCAGACUUGGGAUAUUUUGGGUUUCGAUGAGGUGCUGGUGCUCAAGCACAGUCGAAGACGGUGGCAAGACAAGUGGAAAGCUGAAGCCGAUGGUGUCGGUUCGACGAGGGCGUCGAACACCGUUGGUGGGGGAGGUCUGUUACCCCCUUAAUCGGUGAUAUCGGUAAUGACUCGAGUGUGGCCGAGUCAUGACCGAUAAAUGGUGCCAAGUGGGGAUUGGCACAAGGCAGCCACACAAUCGGCCAAUGAGUGGUCGAGAGAUCGGCAAGCAUUCGGGGUGUUUGACCGAGAAAGCAAGGAUCGGCUUGAUUCAAGUGGGAACGGUGAUCGAUAUUACUUGUGGCUGGCACGGGCGUUGCUCGGCAGCAAAGUCGGACAAGCGUGGGCAGUAUUCGGCAUGCGGCCGAUAACGUGGGCAAACGAACGUUCGAGGGAAAUCGACCACGACUUGACAAGUGUGGGCAAAAUUGGCAAGGCAAGCAAGGCAGCCCGAUGAGCGGGCGUGCCGAUGACCGUGUGGGCAAAGAACUGGCAAGUAAUCGGUAAAGGGAAGCAAAAGUGCGGAAAAGGCAAGGCAGAUGGGCUGCCUAGCAACCGGCCGGGCUGUUUGGGCCGUUUGGCGCGCGUUCGCGGGCUCGUUCAAGUUGGGCUUCGGAAAUCAGCCUUGUGGGCGGAUUUGAGGAAGUUACGGAGCGGUUGAGGCCUGGAAAUGCAUAAAAACUGCCCCUUAUUACUUGUAAUAGUUAGCCAAGUGUCAUGUUUGUAUGCUGCCAUGUGUCCUUAGGUAGUUUUGUGUGAAAACUACCUUUUCUUUGUAUUUAUUUGGCUAUGAGUGCACAAAUCCGAGGCAUCUAGUAUCAUCUAGCAUAUGAGAGUUCAGAUUGCAAUUGUUGGGCAAUUCUGAGUGAGGAUUUUGUGUGUGCACCUUAGUCUCCUUUGUAUUUAUUGUGGGAAUUAAUAUAAAGGUUGGGCAUUGCCCGUAAACGUGCUUGUGUGUUUGUUUUCCGCUGCAUACUCUUGUGUUCGUUUACGUUGGCUUGAAAAGACUUGUGUUGUGCGUUUGUGCGAAGAAAAUCGUGAGGAAGGCUGACUGGUUUGGUGGGCAAAUCAGGCCGUACGGUGGGAAAAUUUCGGUGAUAAAUUAACCCCUGUAACAGAAACCUCCCUUGCAUUGUGACAAAGAUGCACCAAACCCCCUUGUGUUGCUAAAUAAUUGCAUAAAAUCCCAUCAAUAAUUAAUUGAGUUAAAAGUUAACGGAAUAGGGAUUUCAUAUAAGAUAAAAUAAAACAUAAAAAGAUUGUACGUAAUAAAAUUAGGGAUAUAGUGCAGAUUUUUCAUAACACAUGGGGGUUUUAUGUUGUUUAAUUACCGAAAUACUAUAUGCGAACUUAAAAAUAUACACAUUUUCAAACAAAGACUAUUGACAGUCAACCAAAAGAAUUGAACUUUUAAGAAAAAGUGUGAAAUCCAAUUGAUCUAAAUCUCAUUUUAUAUAUAUAUAUAUAUAUAUAUAUANNNNNNNNNNNNNNNNNNNNNNNNNNNNNNNNNNNNNNNNNNNNNNNNNNNNNNNNNNNNNNNNNNNNNNNNNNNNNNNNNNNNNNNNNNNNNNNNNNNNUCGAGGCUAUUAGGAUGAUAAGCAUCUCUCAAUCUUUAACUCUAUCUCUUUUUCACAGUUUUUCUUUUUUAUUUAUUUUUUGAAAUUUUGAUUGAGCGUUCUUCAGGGGGACAAGUAUAUAUAUAUAUAUAUAUAUAUAUAUAUAUAUAUAUAUAUAUAUAUAUAUAUAUAUAUAUAUAUAUAUAUAUAUAUAUAUAUAUAUAUAUAUAUAUAUAUAUAUAUAUAUAUAUAUAUAUAUAUAUAUAUAUAUAUAUAUAUAUAUAUAUAUAUAUAUAUAUAUAUAUAUAUAUAUAUAUAUAUAUAUGUUGGUGCUCAGUAUUAAUUCGACAUUGCCCUUCAAGCUUCCCUGCCGAUUGGUAUGAUAUCUCCAGCACUAAAGCUUAAUGUACAAAAUAGAAAUUGAAAGGGUGUUCAAGUGCGUAUUGUAUGUAUUAAUGCAUUUUAUGGUAUGAUAUGAAUAUGAAUUUAAAUGGUUAUAAUUUAAACGGUUAUGUUUUCUUUUUGCAGACAUGCUUCUUUUAUGUUCACGAACCGAAUUGAAUUGAGUUAUACAUAUAACAAUUAGAUAUAUAAUAAUUAUAUUUAAGUAUUAAUUGAGUUACCGAAUUGACCUCCAUAUUUUACAUAUCAAAAGGUUAUUUUUGUCCACACAAAAAAGGGAAGAAACCCCUACCUUAUUCCUCCUUUUAUAGAUAGUAUAGAUUUAUUGCAUUUUGUCGAACUAUUUUUUGGCAUUCCUUGCAUUUUAUGCAAAAUUUCAAAAGGAUAGAAAAAUAUUUUGAAAAUUUCCAUUACAUCCGAAUUUGGAACAAGAGAUUACAAACUAAUGUAAUUUCCAAAAUUUCCGAAAUUCCGUGAUCCAGAGGUACUCCGACAUCGGAAUGAAUUUUUGCAUUCCAAUUUUUUGGAAUGGAAAUUGGAAGGGAUAAUUACCGUAUUGGUCCCCCAAGUUUGCACGUUUUUCACUUUUGGUCCCCCAUUUACCGUCGUCAACAAAAUAUACACUAAUGUUGUCACAUUUAACACAUUUAGUCCCUUUGUCUGUUUGACCGUUAAGAAAUAACCGUCAACGGUUGAAUUUGGGGUUUUUCUUCGAGAAAAUUGCAAUAAGACCCAUGUAUUAUUUCAAAAUAUUCUAAAAACCCCUAAAAUUUUAUCCAACUAUAAUUUAACCCCAAUUUCAUCAAUUAACCAAUUUUAACCAAUGACCCCGAUUUUUCAAACUCGGUUAAUCCGACGUUGACUUUCUUUUUAACUCGGUUGACUCUUUUUUCGAUUGAUCUUUUUUUGCCGUUGUUGACCGAUGUUGAAAGUCGGGUUAUGAUCGUUAAUAUUUUUUUUCUUGAUUUUUAUUUAAAUUGUUGAGUAGUGGGAAAAAUAUAAUUUAAAAAAGAGAGUCAAAUAUGAUAAUCGGCGAGAAAAAUAAUACCAUAAAAGAAGUCAAAAUAAAAGAAAAAGGGAAAAGUCAACGCAACUCAAUGACAGAGGAAUUUUAAGAGAGAAAUUAACGGCCGGUGUUAGCCCCAAAAACAGUUGUACUAGUCAGGGGCGGUACGUGCAAGGGGCAUGGGGGGCUGUUGACCCCCCAAGAAAAAAAAAAUGUUUUUUUUUAUAUUUGGUAUUUAAUUUUUUGAAUAUUAUUUUUGGCUCCCCCAAAGUUUUUGUAAAUAUAUGUCUUAAUCCAUUAUUUUUUUAGUUUCUUCUCCAUAAUCUUAUAUAAAUUAUAGAUAAAUAUAUCAUAUUUAAUAUAAAAUAUAAAAUAAGAUGCUUAAAACUUGUAUUAUUUUAAAUAAAAUUUAUGAAUAUUACUUAUUUUUGAAUUUUUUUUUUGUCAAUGCCUUGAGAUCGUGCCAUGAAUCCCCGAAAUAUUAAAUGCAAUACAUUAUUAAAAUAAUUUGAAUUCACUUAGAAUUUUCUUAUAAUUAUAAUAUCCCCGGAUCCCAAAAUUUUAGUUAGGCCCCCCUACAUUUUGAACCUGGUUCCGCCACUGGUACUAGUGUGGUUAUCUCAUUUCCAAAUUACUCCGCACAUGCCUAAUUCAUCUUCUUCAUAUUUUUUGGAAAGAAAUUUGGGAUGCACUGGCGGUUCCACGAAGAAAAAACGAGGGGAAGAAAUUUUGAAUUUUAGAUUUUUUUUUUAAAUUGUAUUUAGGCCCCUGAAUUUUAGAUAAAAACUUUGUUAGAAGUUUAUAAUUUUAAUAUUACGAUACUAGAUAUUAAUAUAGUAUUAUUAUUGUUUUAUACAGUAAUAAUAUUGUGUUGAUCAGAAAAAAAAAGUCACAGGAAAAAGUUCAAAAAAAAUCAAGAAAAAUAAAAAAAAGUCAACAUUGUUAACCGAGAAUACAAUGUCGGUGAACAACGUCAAAAACGGUAUUUACAAAAAAAAUCAAUGCCGAAACAAAAAGUUCAAAAAAUCAACGACGGGCAGCGGUCAGCGGUAAUGGUGGUAAAAAUCGUGGUAGUUUUUCAAAAUUGAUUAAAUGAUGAAAUUGGGGUUAAAUUAGGGUUGAAUAAUAUUUUAGGGGUUUUUAGAAUAUUUUAAAAGAAUUCAGGGGUCUGAGUGCAAUUUUCUCAAUGAAAAAUCCCAAAUUCAGCCCUAAUUCAACAGUUGACCGUUCGUUACUUCUUGACGGUCAAACGGACAGAUGGACUAAAUGUGUUAAAAUGUGACUAACAUUAAUGUGUAUUUUGUUGACGGCGGUAAAUAGGGGACCAAAAGUAAAAAACGUGCAAACUUGGGGGUCAAAACUGUAAUUAUCCCGAAAUUGGAACCCAUUUUUACCUUUAAAAAAAUUUGAAAAUUUUCCAAAAAAAUCAUUUCUGAUCCAUUAUGUCCGAUUUCUAUGCAUGUACAACCACUAAAUGAGUGGACCAAAAUCAAACCUUCAAUUGCCAGUAUAUAUAUGAAAAGAAACAAUUUUUUGUUUGGAAUGAAAAAUUUAUUCUUAGAGAUGGCGGCCUAUGCAGCUCUACUCUCUCUCAAGCAUAUCAUCGAACAGAUUCAGCUUCAUCCUCGCCCUCCAAUUUCUCUUCACCAAAACCAAGUUGAUUCUCUCACCGACAACCUCAAUUUCUUGCAAGAUUUUCUUGAAGUUUAUUCAUGCGGCGGUGGCAGCAGCAGCAGCAGCACAGAAGCAGCAGAUGUCUUGGAAAACCGCAUUGCAGAUGCAGCUCAUGCGGCAGAAGAUAUAAUCGAAACCCGAAUUGUGGAUCAAAUUCUCGGUGGCGAAAGAAUCAGUUCCGAUGAGUUGUAUCAAGGUCUAGAGAAGUUGAUCCAAGACAUGGGUUUUAUCAAGAAAGAAUUAAUGGAGAAUAAAGAGAAGAAUAUUGGAAUAAUCGAAGAUCAUCUGCACUUAAAUUCUCCCACGCUUGGAGGUUCGUCAAGUUCUCCUUCAACGAGGCAGAACGCCGUGGUUGGUCUUGACGAUCUCUUAAUUGAAGUAAUGGAUAAGCUCACCGGACAACCAUCUAAUCUCCGCAUAAUCCCGAUUGUUGGAAUGGGCGGCAUUGGUAAGACUACUCUUGCUAGAAAUUCUUAUGCUAAGCCACUCAUUAUGCAUCACUUUGAUAUCCGUGCUUGGGUUACAAUAUCUCAAAACUAUAAUGUGCAAGAAAUUCUUAUAGAAAUUCUUCUUUGUAUAAGAAAAGACGAGAGCCGAGAAAUCUUGAGUUCGAAGAAUGAAGGUGAAUUAGGUGAAACAGUACACAAAAAUUUAUGGGGCAGGAGAUAUUUGAUUGUAUUGGACGAUAUUUGGAGUGUUGAGGUAUGGGAUAGAGUGAAUUUUUUCUUUCCUGACAAUGGUCAAGGAAGUAGAAUAGUGAUAACCACUAGGCUAUCAAAUGUUGCUUCGAUUGGCUCUCGUGGACUUGAAAUGAAUUUCCUAGAUGAUGAUAAAAGUUGGGAUCUACUGUGCAAAAAUAUAUUUGAGAAAGAAGAAGACUGCCCUCAUGAAUUGGAGGAAAUCGGAAAGAAGAUUGCAAAAAAUUGCAAAGGACUUCCUUUGUCGAUUGUUGUGAUUGGAGGACUCCUAGCAAAUUCCAAGCAUACAACAGAACAUUGGAAAUAUAUUUCGGAAAAUUUAAACUCGAUUGUACAUUUAGAAGACAACGAGCGUUGCUUAAAAGUAUUGCUUUUGAGUUAUAACCAUUUGCCGGUACACCUCAAGCCAUGUUUUCUGUAUAUGGGAGUUUUUCCCGAAGAUAGGAAAAUCCAUGUCUCCUGGCUCGUAAAAUUAUGGGUUUCCGAAGGAUUUCUGAAACCAAUUAGCGGCAAAAGCUUGGAAGUGGUUUCGAGAGAGUAUUUAGAGGACCUUUGUGACAGAAAUCUCAUUAGAGUUCAUCAAAGAGGGUCUAAUGGGAAAAUAAAAUUUUGCAACAUACAUGAUCUCUUGAGGGAAGUAUGCUUAAGAGAAGCUGAGAGAGAGAAGUUCCUUUACGUCCCAAGAAAGCAUAGCCUCAACAUUGCACAAGGCAUAAAUACGCAACGCCGCAUUAUUAUUCAUCAAAGCGAAUCGGAGACUGGAUAUCUCCUUGACGUCCUGCAAGUGAACAAUACGUUGAUAUCUGUGCCCCUUGCCCGUUCAUUGAUGUGCAAAUUUAUGCUUUUACCAUCACACCCCGGAUCUAAUUAUAGAUUGUUGAGGGUGCUGAAAGUAGUUGAUAAACAUUCAUAUUCUGGCUAUCAUGCGUCAGAUUCCAUAGAAGCUGUUCUUCAGCUAGUUAACUCGAGGUUCCUUGCCAUCGGAGCUGAUUGGCAGAAUUUCAGAUUUCCUUCUUCAGUGUAUCUCCUUUGGAAUCUACAAACUUUAAUCGUUAAGGAUAUGUUUUACGCUGUCGCACCAUCCGAAAUUUGGAAGAUGACUCAACUAAGGCACAUCGAGUUCGGUCUACUUGAUCUGCCUGAUCCUCCUCUUGGUGGUGACGACGACUCUGUCUUGGGGAAUCUACAGACGCUCUUGAAAAUAAGAAAUUUCAAAUGUGGAGAAGAGGUAGUUAAGAGAAUCCCCAACGUCAAGAAAUUACAAAUAUGUUAUCUUGAGGAAUUCGAGGGAUGUUCAAGUUACUCUCUCAAUAAUCUUGUCCGUCUACAUAAACUUGAAUCCUUUAGCUGCUUCUUUUAUUCCCAAAAGAAACCACACCGGAACGAUUUGCUGCGGAACUUGAUCCUCCCGAAUUCCAUCAAGAAGUUGGCUCUGAGGGGGACCAAUCUAUACUGGGACGACAUGAAGACAAAGAUAGGUUUGUUACCCAAUCUUCAAGUACUCAAACUGCAAUAUAAUUCCUUUGUAGGACCCGAGUGGGAAACCGUUGACGGGCAAUUCUGCAACCUAAGAUUCUUGCAAAUCUACACGUGUAGUGAUCUGGAAUGGUGGACAAUGACAGACAGCUCCCACUUUCCACGCCUUGAGCAUCUUGUUCUCUGUAACAUGGAUAAGUUGAACGAGAUGCCGUCGUGUAUUGGAGAAAUACCUACGCUUCAAUCCAUUGAGUUGAAAAAUUGUAGCGACUCAACUAUCAUCUCUACUAGAAGAAUAUUGGAGGAACAAGAGGAACUCGGCAAUGUAGGCCUUCGAGUUCGAGUUAUCUUAUUCAAUCAAGAACACUUGGAGAGCUUGGCUAGUCCCAAUUUUCAAAUUGAAGAAUCUCGGUAAGAACUAGUCUUCAUUGAUUAACAUCAAGCUUCUUUUAUUGCUUUGAUAAAUCAUGAAAGGAUAUAUAGUAUUUCUCUUCCUAGUUUUGUCAAUUAUAAUUUGGGUAAAAUAAAACCAACCCCUGAGGUAUGGUAAAAUUACGAAAACCCCCAUUCUGUUUGGGUAAUUACAACAACCCCUUAACUAUAAAUUUUCUUACACGUCCAUCCUCGCAGUUUCAAAUUUAGUGGAAUCUUCUUGAUUAUAUGGAAUAUUAUCACUUUUGUACCCGUUUUAUCCAAUUCGAGCUCCACAUUUUGAAGCAAGAUGAUCAUAAGAUGUGUUUUUUGACUUGUAUAUAUAUCAGAUUGUGGUGCAUCAGAAACUGUAUAUUUACACACAACGAGUAUAAACUAGAGCACAUUCCACGGAAUCUAGUUGAUUAUGUUGAAUUUGACACCAUAAGGGUGGAGGUGUAAGAAGAUUCAUAGUUGAGGGGUAGAUGUAAUUAUCCAAACAAUAUGAGGUUUUUCGUAAUUUGAUCAUACCUCAGUAGGGUGGUUGUAAUUUACCAUAAUAAUUUGGGCAAAUUACCAAAACCCCCCUGAGGUAAGUCUGAAUAACAAAAAUUCCCCCCACGUUCUCGUAAUUACGAAAACCCCCCUGAGGUAUGCAGACAUCAUACAAAUCGCUCUAACGGUGUUAAACUCGAUAGAAUCUUUUUGAUUCUCCAGAAUAUUCCUCCGAUAAUACCAAUUUUGCCCUUGUACACGAAAUUACCCUUAGGGGGGUAAUUGUAAGCAUUUUAUUUAAUGAGGGGUCAAUAUAUAAGUGUCUGCAAAAUACUUAUUUUUCUUAAAUUAAACCCAAAUAUAAUCAAUCAUUAUGAAUGUACAAUGUAUUUUUAUUGGAUUAAAAAAAUCAAUGAAUGAGAUUUCAAAAUUUAAUUAUUUUUAUAUAUAAAAUUAAAUAUUUUGCAAUUCGAGAAAUACAACCAUCAUUCAAGCUAAAAGCAUAAAUCCGUAUGAACACUCCUCUGGAUAAAUAAAAUCAAUUAAGAUAUAUAAAUAUUAAAAAAUAAAAAAUUUAUAAUAUCAAAUUAUCAAUACAUCUCCCCCAAAGCAGAACUGUAGCCAUGGACGAAAAAUCGUCGUCCAAAAUCACGAUAUCGGAGCUCUCCUUCGCCACCUCAGUGCCUUGGAUUCCCAUCGAGAGUCCCACAUCGGCUUCUUUUAAAGCAGGGGCGUCGUUCGUUCCGUCGCCUGUGACCGCCACCACAUUUUCAGCUUUUUUCUUUUAUUUUCAUAUAUUUAACAGAAGGAAUUACGAGAACGUGGGGGGAUUUUCGUUAUUUAGGCUUACCUCAGGGGGGUUUUGGUAAUUUGUUUUUUUUUUCUUUUAUUUUUCACAUAUUUAACAGAAGGAUAUAAUUGACAUUUCACCUUUUCGGUUAAAAAAAUUCGGUCAACCGUUAGUCAAGGGGGGUUUUCGUAAUUACGAGAACGUGGGGGGGAUUUUCGUUAUUUAGGCUUACCUCAGGGGGGUUUUGGUAAUUUGCCCUAAUAAUUUUGUCAUUUCAAUUUGAUAACAUGGGGUACCACCUUACAGCAGUACACAGUGAGUUAACCUACAUGCGGAACAUAAAUCGGAAAAUGGAGGUCCGGGAGCUGAUCGCUUGUCGAGUUAUCGAGUUCAGAUUGACAAUUUAAUCGAUUAGAUUGUUGUUACGAUUCGGUCCGAACCCGAUCGGUGAAUAAAGUUCCUUUUUUUUUCUUCUCUUAUAUAAAUAUAAAAUCAUAUAAACCCGUAUUUCCGAGAUCUAAAUAAUCAUCAUUUGAAAUAAAAUGCAUACAUAAAAUUGGUGUAUGGGAGAGGACAAGAGAGAUCCUAUCUCCGAUGUGAAGAAGACAUAAUAAUUAAUCACACGAAGCACCUAAAAUGGAGAGUGAAAAUCGGAACUGAAUUUUCAAAUUUCACCAAUUCCAAUCCGAAAAAUUUCAAUUUUCAAACACGAAUUAGAAUUAUUAUUUUACUUUCACAAAAUAAUAAUUUAUAACUGUUUCCAAAAUGCUAGUUUUGAUCCGAUCCAUCCGAUUUCCACCCUUAUCUUUAAAAUAGUUAAUUACUUGUUUUGCAAUAAAAUGGCAAGUUUUCAUAGCAAUUAUUGUCAGCUGAUUUAUGUACCGUUUGAUAGCAAUAAAAUGCAAAUUUUCAUUUUGAUUUUGAAUUCAAAAUAAAAAUCAGUUUGAUUUUGUUUUGAAACAUGAUUGAAAUUAUUUUUCAAUUCCGAAAGAAUUAGAAAACUUAAAAAAAGUGCUAAUUUUGAUCUUAAUUAAUGGUUCGAUCUCCACCUCUAGUUAUACCCCGUGUUGGUUACGAAUGCCCCCGUAUGGGACUACGGAGUUUAUUGCAUUAAGUAUCACUAUGACUAUGUUAUAUGGAAUUCUAAAAAAGCUUUUGCAAACACCAAUUCGAACGUCAAUACCUUAUGGGCGAGGGCACAUCGGAUAAAUUGACUUGAUUGAAGCCUAAUUGUGGCCCAAGAAAGAGUGGACAAAGAAUUGUAUUCCAACUAUACAUACAUAUAUGUGAUCAACAUUCGAUCCGAUGACCUUCAUUAGAUACUAUCACUUUACGUAAUUUCAACUUUCAAGAAAGUGGUUCGAUUCUAAAUCAAGAAUUUAUAAUGGCUAACCUAGCGACCGUUGACAGAAGUAUUUGAAUCUGGUUUAAUUGAUUACUAACACAGGCUCACUUGAUCCAACCGCUAGGUCAUCCUUUGCGGGAAAAAAAGAGAGUAAAUUGUGUGUUUAUUUGGAUAGUUUCAUAAUACAUAUAGUAGAUUAUAAGUCACAUUACGUACGACUUCGUUUUUAUUCUGAGUUAUUAUGAACAUUAUAGUAGAAUGAUAAAUAUCUUAAAUAGUGUCAUUUGAGAAUUAUCUUUUAAAUCAUCUGGUCAAGUGUAAAUAAUUUUAUGCAGAUACAAUCUCAUUUUCGUAACCGCGACCCAAAAAUUAAAAAUAUUGUAGAAUUUGUGGGGAAAUAAUUUUCAUCUUCGAUAUCAAUAAUGUAGAAGGCAAAACCGAUUGGAAAUAACAUGGCUAUAUAUUAAACUCGCGAUUACAAUUUUUUUGACCUUUACAUACAAAGGAACUAACAUUCUCGUUUAUUGUUGUUUUCUUUUUUAUAUUGCGAAUAUAUCGGGAAAAUAUUGUGUAAUAAUCUUGCUUCUUUUUAUAGUGUUUGGUAGCUCGAAGGUCGCCAAGGAUCCCCGUUUGCCAUAUCUUAUGUCAAUACGACCGACCGAAAAAAAUAAAUCAAUAAAAAUAUAUAAAAAUAUAUAAAAAUAUCUAUAGAAAUGUUCUAUUUUCCAACUUGGGAAUCUCAAGCCUUCCAUUUGCUACACAACUUGUGCAAAAUUAUCUGCAUGUCUAUCUCCAGCAAUUUGUCUACAUCUACUUUCUUGAUUUCCUAUUUAUAAAUAAAAUUGAAAAUAAAGUUAUUUAUUUAUUAUGUAUAUGAAAACUUAAUAUAUCAUAUAUGCAAAAAGAAAAUUAAGAUAUUUUGGACUAAAAAUAUGUGUUAUUCUCAUCAUGCAACCCUAAUUAUUGUUAACAUUAAUUUACUUAUUGUUAACAUUAAUUAGGUACAUAUAAUAUUUUCCAGAGCUCAAAUAAAAAAAUAACUUGAUUGGCUUUAUUAAAUUAACUAGCUAGUCAAUCAUAUGAUUGUCAAUUAAAUAUGUAAGUCCACAUUGAAAAAUAAAUAAAUAAAUAAAUAAAAUUAACCCAACAAAUAAGCCAAGAAACAAACGAGGAAAACCUACAAGGGAAUCCAUUAUUUCUCAGAAAUAUCCUCUCUGUGAAUAUUGUGAGGUGAUUGGUCAGAAAAAUAUUCGAGAAUUAAUCUUACCACUUCUGGUUCUGGAGUCGUUUCUAUUGGCUUUAGGAGGAAAAUAUAGUUAAACAUCUAUACAUUAUUACAAUCAGAACUAAUAAAAUUCUAUUAAUUUAACGAAAUAUUAAAUUAUCGAACUAAAUAAUUUAAUAUGUUUUUAUCAAGUCGGGACUAGAAGAAAUUAUUAUUUAAACAAUGUUAUUAAUUUAUCAAUUAUUAAUUUAUCGAGGUUGUUCUGCAGAUGCUUGAACACUGAUUAUUAGCUAGCAUAUUAGAGGCCACAAGUUGUUGGUAGAUUCUCAUAUUCCCUAAUUGCAUCACAUUCUUUAUUCUACAACUUAUAAGUUUUCAACAUAAGCAUACUAUAAAUGCUUGUAAAUAUUCAAAAUGGUAACAAUCCAUCUCAUACUUUUCUGUCACAUAGUAAUUAUGAACUAAUUACUUUCUAAUUAUUGAGGAACUUUUGAAUAUAAUUGAUUAGCAUUUGGUGAUGCUUUGACUAUAGAUUAAUGCUUUGGAUAAUAAUUACAAAACUUCGUUGACCAUUUCAUAUCAUAUUAAUCCAUUAACUUCAUAAUGAGAGGUGGUAGCAUUUUAGAGCUAUUAUUUACUUUACUCCCAAUAAUUUUUUUAUUCUUUUUAAUGAUAUUAUUUACUUUUCUUUUUUCAGUAAAUAUUUUAGCAAUACAGUUAAACCUCUAUAAAUUCAUGCACUUAGGACCAACAUAACCUUAUUAAUUUAGCGAUUGAUGGGUUUCGAUUCUUUUUUUUCCCUUCGUUCCUAUUUAUUCAUGAAAUAACACGAUUAAUAUUUAUACUAUUCUCAUUAAAAUUGUAAAAUAUUUUCUUGAUGCGAUACUUUUAUUUUGCAAAUUAUGCGGUCAACCCGGGUUUUAUAAAAUAAAGAUGAAUUUCAAAUAAUUAACCUCAUGAUAUAUAUUUUUUCUUUCGAAAAUAAGUUAAAUUAGACGAUAAAUUUUUUAUGUAAUUUAAAAGAGUAUUUAAUAAUUUAUAUAGCAUUAAAAUAUGAAAAAAGGUAUAUUUGAAAAUUAUAUGCGAGUAGCAAUAAAGAGAACCUGAUCCACUCGUCAAUUUUUAGUUUGUGAUUGUGACCAUGAAAACGUGUGCGAGCCAUUUGCUGAACCGAGUCACUGAGUUCUCUGACUUUGAAAUUUAACCCAGUCACAAUUCGCGUUUUUUUCGAAUAAACCCUAACCAAAAGCAUAUUUUGCAAUUUUAGUCCCUCAACUAUUGGUUAAAUAUAUUUUCGGUCCAAUAACUUUUGAUGUCCGAUCUCUUAAUGUUAUGAUCAAUUGUAUAACAUUUGUCUAAUUAACCUUUUCUUUUUUUAUUAAAACUAAUAAAAUUGAUUGAACUGCAACCAACCAUAUAUGUGCACUGGGUGAAUAGUACAAUAUUUAGCAAACCACAUGAAAAGCAUAAGACGUGCUUCAUAAUUUAAACUUAGAAAAUGUUGGUAAAUUAAUUUAAAAUCGAACCAUUUAAUUAACAAUAAAUGGUUGGUAAUCAAUACAAAGUUGACUUAAUUAGAUGAUUGUAAUGCAAUGAAAUAAUAAUGCUUGCAUGUUACUAGGGGUGGGAACGAGCCGAGCUCGAGCCGAGCUCGGCUCUUUUGGCCAGCUCGAGCUCGAGCUCGAGUCCAUGUUCCCGAGCUCGAGCUCAUCGAGCCAAUUUUUUUUGGCUCGAGCUCGAGCUCAGGCUUAUUAAUUUUUAUUUAUUUAUUUUUUUUUUUUUUUAUUAUUAUUAUUUAAUUUUUUUAUUAAUUUUUUUUUAUUAGAAAAUAUUCAUAGGAAAAUAAAAAAAAUUAUAAAAAAAAUAAUGAACUCUAGUUAUAUAUAUAUUUUUUUUCUAUUAUUAUUAUUAUUAUUAUUAUUAUUAUUAUUAUUAUUAUUAUUAUUAUUAUUAUUAUUAUUAUAUUUUAUAUAAUUAUGAAUUAUUUAAGUAAUAUAGAUUUGUUUCUAUUUAAAUACUAGAUAUUUUUAUUAUUAUAGAGUAUUUACUAUUUAGUUAAUAAUAAUAAUAAUAAUAAUAAUAAUAAUAAUAAUAAUAAUAAUAAUAAUAAUAAUAAUAAUAAUAAUAAUAAUAAUAAUAAUAAUAAUAAUAAUAAUAAUAAUAAUAAGAAUAAUAUAUAUAUAUGUAAAAAAAAAAAAAAAAAAAAAAAAAAAAUAGAAGGCAGCUCGCGAGCCGGCUCGCGAGCUGUCGAACAACUACUUUUGGGCUCGAGCUCGAGCUCGUCCGAAGCUCGAGCUCGAGCUCGUCCGAAGCUCGAGCUCGAGCUCGAAAAUCCCGAGCUCGAGUUCGAGCUUUUUUCGAGCCGGCUCGUCUAGUUCACAAGCCGGCUCGGCUCGUUUACCACCCCUACAUGUUACACAUAGAUUCUUUCAUGAUAUACAAUCAAAUCUUAAAUUAUUUGAGCUUCAAACCAACAACUAAGUUUAUAAGUACUUACAUCAAUAAAAUACAAAAAGAGAAUCAUUGACAUUACAAUUACUUAUAAUUGUCUCAUCCAAAUGUUUAAUAUCACCUGCCUCUCGGCGAUUAUUUUCACAAUAACAAUGUUAUAAUUUCGACAAUCUCCCAGAUUUUAUACCAAAUGAAACACGAAUGAUGCUGUUGUAGUGUAGAUCUACACAUUUUCCAUCGUAGAGAAUUUACGGUCACUCGAAGUGUAUUAGGUAAACUCUGCCAUCGUGUAAUAGCUCGCGAAUAACACGUAAGAUGCCACUACAUUAACUAAUUCAGAUCAAAUAUCAUUAUAUUUUCUUGCUCCACCAACUAGACGUACACAAAUUGAAUAAUCAACAUUACACUUAUAUAUAAUAAAAUAAUUCCCGAUAAAGUUCAGUUCACGGAUGCAGCAUAGAAUAAACCGAUCUUUCAAACUCUGCACCCUUUUAACAAGACUCGAAAAACUCAAGACCGAAAGUCUAAUUACCAUAUAGUAAAGAGGCCGAAAUUGCAGUUUAAUCCCCCCAAAAAAAAUAUAUUAAAAAAAACUAAAAUAAAAUUCGAAUAUGUGUUAUCAUGUUCCUCAAAUAAUUACAAAAUUCGAUAUUUAAAAAAAAAUAUAAAAAAAACUAAAAGAAAAUAAAAAAAUGAAAACAUGAAGUUCACGUUGUUCCCGUGUUCUGCAGCACGGGGAUUCAUAUUUUAAUUUUUUUUUCCGAAAAUAAAAACUAAAAAGUUUUUUGAGCUUCCCGUUCCACAGAGCACGAAAACUUGAAGAAAGUUCAAGUUUCCGUGCUCUGCAGAACGGGAAGUUCAAAAAACUUGAAUUCUCCGUUCUACAGAGCACGGAUAUUGAAAAAUUACCGGAAUCGAGCCUCGUUUGCUGCGGAUUCAAAGUCGAAAAAAAUUUCCGAAAUUCAAUUGUCUUGAGAGAGUUUGGAAGUAGGAGAGUGAAUUUAAAAAAAAAAAUUAAAUGAAAAAGAUUCCGCUGUAUUUAGUAAAAGCCCCGCUGCAAAUAGAAACACCCGAUUAUUAAUAUUGGCAUUAGAAAAUCAAAAUCUAGUGUAAAAAUAUGGACUCAAAAAAGGAAAUUAAUCCUUCACCUAAUAGUACUUUCACGGUUUGUUUGAUGCUACACCCAGUGAAAUAUACCGGAUGAUUAUUAACCGUUGAUCUGCACACAAUCACACAAACACCCAUGUAUAUGUGUGUUUCACCUAAUAGUACUUUAACCCAUGUAAUUAUCACGUGCCAAUUGAAGGGCAAAAUUGUACUUGCCGUUAAACAUGGCAUUAACUCACCUUUCAAAUUUCAUGACGCAUGACUAGUCAACCAUUGCUGCCUCCAUUUCUGUACACCAUUCAUUUUUUUUCUCUCGCAUUUUUUUAUUAUCCUAAGAUACAUUCAUACUAUAGUACUACAAAGGACUCAAGAUGGAGUGAUUCUUGAUUCUUCUUGAUUCUCAACCUCAAGAAUUGUUCUGAAAACCAAUUCGAUUUUCGGGAGAGAGAGAGAUGGCGGCGUACGCAGCUCUACUUUCUCUCAGGCAUAUCAUCGAACAGCUUCAGCAUCACCCUUCCCCUCCAAUUUUUAUUCACCAAAACCAGGUGGAAUCUCUCACCGACAACCUCAAUUUCUUGCAAGAGUUUCUUGAGCAGGGAUAUCCUUGUGUUGGCAUCAGCAAAGGAGCAAUUGAUGUUUUUGAAAGUCGAAUUGCAGAUGCAGCUCAUGCAGCCGAAGAUAUAAUCGAAACCCGUGUUGUUGAUCAAAUUCUUACUGAAUCGACGGCUCAAGCGUCGAAAGAUAUAAACGAAACCUGGGUUGGUGAUCAAAUCCUUGGUGGAUCAAGAAAAACGAAGAAUACUAGAAUGCAAGAUCGUCUGCGCAGGAUUUUGUCCACUUUUUGUGGUGCUGGUUCAUCAAGAUCUCCUUCAACGAGGCAGAAUGUCGUAGCUGGUUUAGAUCUCGAUAAGGUGAUCCAAGACAUGGGUUUAAUCAAGAAAGAUGUGAUGGAGAUUAAAGAUAAUAAUAUUGGAAUAAUCGAAGAUCACCUGCACAAAAAUUCUUCAACUCUUGCUGGUGCUGCUUCAUCAAGGUCUCAUUUAACAACGAAGCAUGAAACCAUGGUUGGUUUUGAUGAGCUCUUAAUUGAAGUAAUGGAUAAGCUCAUUGGACAACACUCUAAUCUCUGCAUAAUCCCGAUUGUUGGAAUGGGCGGCAUUGGUAAGACUACUCUUGCUAGAAAUGCCUACGUUAAGUUUAUAAAGCACUUUGAUAUUCGAGCUUGGGUUACAGUAUCUCAAAAUUACAAUGUGCGAGAAAUUCUUAUAGAAAUUCUUCUUUGUAUAAACAAAGCUGAGAAACGAGAAACCUUGAGUGCGAAGAAUGAGGGUGAAUUAGGUGUAAAAGUACACCAAAGUUUAUGGG
rnacentral:lncRNA from 1 species